rnacentral:rRNA from 1 species
AAUCAACGCUGGCGGCGUGCCUCAGACAUGCAAGUCGAACGAUUAAACUUUCCUUCGGGAAAGAUAUAAAGUGGCGCACGGGUGAGUAACACGUAGGUAAUGUACCUUUGGGUGGGGAAUAACCAUCGGAAACGAUGGCUAAUACCGCAUAAUGCAGCGGCAUCGCAAGAUGACAGUUGUUAAAGAUUUAUCGCCUAAAGAGCAGCCUGCGGCAGAUUAGGAGUUGGUAAGGUAAUGGCUUACCAAGCCUGCGAUCUGUAACCGACCUGAGAGGGUGGUCGGUCACACUGACACUGAAUAACGGGUCAGACUCCUACGGAGGCAGCAGUCGGGAAUUUUGGGCAAUGGGCGAAAGCCUGACCCAGCAACGCCGCGUGAAGGACGAAGUCUUUCGGGAUGU